CGGGGACUGGCGCAAUUGGUAGCGCGCACGAUUCGGGUUCGUGAGGUUGGCGGUUCAAGUCCGCCGUCCCCGA
rnacentral:tRNA from 2 species